rnacentral:rRNA from 1 species
AACGAACGCUGGCGGCAGGCCUAACACAUGCAAGUCGAGCGAGGUAGCAAUGCCUAGCGGCGGACGGGUGAGUAACGCGUGGGAACGUGCCCUUUGCUUCGGAAUAGCCCCGGGAAACUGGGAGUAAUACCGAAUGUGCCCUUCGGGGGAAAGAUUUAUCGGCAAAGGAUCGGCCCGCGUUGGAUUAGGUAGUUGGUGGGGUAAUGGCCUACCAAGCCGACGAUCCAUAGCUGGUUUGAGAGGAUGAUCAGCCACACUGGGACUGAGACACGGCCCAGACUCCUACGGGAGGCAGCAGUGGGAAUCUUAGACAAUGGGCGCAAGCCUGAUCUAGCCAUGCCGCGUGAUCGAUGAAGGCCUUAGGGUUGUAAAGAUCUUUCAGAUGGAAGAUAAUGACUGUACCAUCAGAAGAAGCCCCGGCUAACUCCGUGCCAGCAGCCGC